AUGGGGUUGUGGAGGAACGCCCGCUCAUGUCUUCAAUGGGGGUUAUGGGGUGAGGUGGGGUUAUGGGGUUUUUCCUAUGGGCGUUCUUAUUGGGUUAUAGGUUCUUAUGGGUGGGGGGGGAUAUGGGGUUGUGGGGACUCCCCCCAUGUCCUUCAAUGGGAUUCUAUGGGGGGGGAUUUGGGGUCCCCCAUAUCCUUCAAUGGGGGUUUAUGGGGUGGGGAUGGGGUUAUGGGGUUUCUAUGGGGUUCUUAUGGGGUUUCUAUGGGGUUCUUAUGGGGUUUUAGGGUUCUUAUGGGAUCAGUGGGGGAUAUGGGGUUGUGGGGACCCCCCCCAUGUCCUUCAAUGGGAUUCUAUGGGGUGUGAGGGGGAUUUGGGGUCCCCCAAUCCCCCCCAUUAUAUCCCCCCCAUUGGGUUUAAUUAGUCGCUGUCCAUGGUGCUGAAGAUCCAAUUGCUGUCCAUGGUGCUGAAGAUCCAAUUAACAUUAAUUCCUCCCCCUCUUAUUGGCGUUAAUUACUUAAUUAGUUGCUGUUCAUGGUGCUGAUGAUCCAAUUAACUUUAAUUACCCCCUUCCCAUCGGCGUUAAUUACUUAAUUAGUUGCUG
rnacentral:lncRNA from 1 species